rnacentral:rRNA from 1 species
UACGGAGGGUGCAAGCGUUAAUCGGAAUUACUGGGCGUAAAGCGCACGCAGGCGGCUUGUUAAGUUAAAUGUGAAAUCCCCGGGCUCAACCUGGGAAAUGCAUCUGAUACUGGCAAGCUUGAGUACCGGAGAGGGGGGUGGAAUUCCAGGUGUAGCGGUGAAAUGCGUAGAGAUCUGGAGGAAUACCGGUGGCGAAGGCGGCCCCCUGGACAGAGACUGACGCUGAGGCGCGAAAGCGUGGGGAGCAAACAGG